rnacentral:rRNA from 1 species
AGUAUUGUUAAUACCAAUACUCCGUGACAUUACUUACAGAAUAAGGACCGGCUAAUUCCGUGCCAGCAGCCGCGGUAAUACGGAAGGUCCAAGCGUUAAUCGGAAUUACUGGGCGUAAAGCGCGCGUAGGUGGUUUAUUAAGUUGGGUGUGAAAGCCCCGGGCUCAACCUGGGAACUGCAUCCAAAACUGAUUCACUAGAGUACGAAAGAGGAAAGUAGAAUUCACAGUGUAGCGGUGGAAUGCGUAGAUAUUGUGAAGAAUACCGAUGGCGAAGGCAGCUUUCUGGUUCUGUACUGACACUGAGGUGCGAAAGCGUGGGUAGCGAACAGGAUUAGAUACCCUGGUAGUCCACGCCGUAAACGAUGACAACUAGCUGUUGGGAAGCUAUGCUUUUCAGUGGCGCAGCUAACGUCUUAAGUUGUCCGCCUGGGGAGUACGGCCGCAAGGUUAAAACUCAAAUGAAUUGACGGGGACCCGCACAAGCGGUGGAGCAUGUGGUUUAAUUCGAUGCAACGCGAAAAACCUUACCUACACUUGACAUACUUGGAAUCUUUUGUAACGAAAGAGUGCCUUUUGGAGCCAAGAUACAGGUGCUGCAUGGCUGUCGUCAGCUCGUGUCGUGAGAUGUUGGGUUAAGUCCCAUAACGAGCGCAACCCUUACCCUUAUUUGCCAGCGAUUCGGUCGGGAACUAUAAGGGGACUGCCGGUGAUAAACCGGAGGAAGGUGAGGACGACGUCAAGUCAUCAUGGCCCUUACGUGUAGGGCUACACACGUGCUACAAUGGGGAGUACAGAUAGACGCUAAAGCGCGAGCUGGUGCUAAUCUCAUAAAACUCUUCGUAGUCCGGAUUGCAGUCUGCAACUCGACUGCAUGAAGUCGGAAUCGCUAGUAA